rnacentral:rRNA from 1 species
AGUGAGGAGGCUGAGGAGCUUCCGGCGGAGCCGGGCCUCGUCGUGCUUCGGCUGCCGCUGCGGCUGCUCGCACUCGCGCAAGUACUGCUGCCGCUAGACCUUCUAGAGGGGCCGCCGCAACGUGACGCGCGGUUUGCUCGGGGGCGCGGAGAAGGGGCGCCCCGACUCGCUGCGGUGCUAGGACCGCUUGAACAUCAGCCGCGAGAACGCGUGCGGGUCGUACCAGUGGAACAACUCGGGGAACUCCGGCGACAUCCGCAAGUACGGGAGGUGCAUGCAGUGCGGCCUGGAGAAGAAGCGGCGGCGGCGGCGGCCGCGCGGCCGCUCGACGCCCUCGCACCGGUGCCUCUCGCUGCGGUAGCCAGCUCGAGCCGACUUGGACGUCAGUCAGUCUCUGUUCGUUCCCGACGCAUUAGGCAGCGCUCGACGCUACUAGACCACGCCCCUUACACCCAACCCAACGAACGAAUGGAGGCCACCAACAGCUCAAGAACCGCGACCUCCUCCUUCCUCACACCGGCCGACGCCACGAACCCCAACCCACCCAGUGUAUCUCCCUUUCCUCACCAAAAACAUGCCCCCUAGUCCCUUCCUAUUCCACGCCCUCCCUUGCCCGCCACCGGCCUCCCGUCAAAUAGGAACGAGGAGCUUUCCUCUUCCAGGUUAACCACCGAUC